rnacentral:rRNA from 1 species
UGGGGAAUCUUGCACAAUGGGCGAAAGCCUGAUGCAGCGACGCCGCGUGGGGGAUGAAGCUUCUCGGAGUGUAAACCCCUUUCGGCCCGGACGAAUGCCCCGCAAGGGGACUGACGGUACGGGUAUAAGAAGCCCCGGCUAACUACGUGCCAGCAGCCGCGGUAAGACGUAGGGGGCCAGCGUUGCUCGGAAUUACUGGGUGUAAAGGGUUCGUAGGCGGUGUGGCAAGUCGGGAGUGAAAUCUCUGGGCUCAACCCAGAGACUGCCUCCGAAACUGCUGUGCUUGAGUGUGAGAGAGGCUCGUGGAAUUGCAGGUGUAGCGGUGAAAUGCGUAGAUAUCUGCAGGAACACCCGUGGCGAAAGCGGCGAGCUGGAUCACUACUGACGCUGAGGAACGAAAGCUAGGGGAGCAAACAGGAUUAGAUACCCUGGUAGUCCUAGCCCUAAACGAUCAGGACUUGGGGUGCCGCCCGUUCGGGCGUCGUCCCGGAGCUAACGCGUUAAGUCCUGCACCUGGGGAGUACGGUCGCAAGACUG